rnacentral:rRNA from 1 species
UACGUAGGGAGCAAGCGUUGUCCGGAAUCAUUGGGCGUAAAGCGCGCGUAGGUGGCCAUUUAAGUCCGCUGUGAAAGUCAAAGGCUCAACCUUUGAAAGCCGGUGGAUACUGGGUGGCUAGAGUACGGAAGAGGCGAGUGGAAUUCCUGGUGUAGCGGUGGAAUGCGCAGAUAUCAGGAGGAACACCGGUGGCGAAGGCGGCUAUCUGGACAGAAACUGACGCUGAGGCGCGGAAAGCUAGGGGAGCAAACAGG